rnacentral:rRNA from 1 species
UACGUAGGGGGCAAGCGUUGUCCGGAAUCAUUGGGCGUAAAGCGCGCGCAGGCGGCCUUUUAAGUCUGAUGUGAAAGCCCACGGCUCAACCGUGGAAGGUCAUUGGAAACUGAAAGGCUUGAGUACAGAAGAGGAAAGCGGAAUUCCACGUGUAGCGGUGAAAUGCGUAGAGAUGUGGAGGAACACCAGUGGCGAAGGCGGCUUUCUGGUCUGUAACUGACGCUGAGGCGCGAAAGCGUGGGGAGCAAACAGG